rnacentral:rRNA from 1 species
AUCCCUAGUACGGCGAGUGAAGCGGGAUGAGCUCAAAUUUGUAAUCUGGUGGACUCAGUUCAUCCGAGUUGUAAUCUAUAGAAAAGUUUUCCGCGCCGGACCGUGUCUAAGUCCCUUGGAACAGGGUGUCAGAGAGGGUGAGAAUCCCGUGCUUGAUACGACCACCGGUGCUAUGUGAUACUUUUUCAACGAGUCGAGUUGUUUGGGAAUGCAGCUCAAAAUGGGUGGUAAAUUCCAUCUAAAGCUAAAUAUUGGCGAGAGACCGAUAGCGAACAAGUACCGUGAGGGAAAGAUGAAAAGCACUUUGGAAAGAGAGUUAAACAGUACGUGAAAUUGUUAAAAGGGAAACGAUUGAAGUCAGUCGUGCUCUCUGGGACUCAGCCGGUUCUUCCGGUGUAUUUCCCAGUGAGCGGGUCAACAUCAGUUUAGAUCGCUGGAUAAGGUCAUUAGGAAUGUGGCUCCCUCGGGAGUGUUAUAGCCUAGUGUCGCAUACAGUGGUUUAGACUGAGGAACGCAGCUCGCCUUUAUGGCCGGGGUUCGCCCACGUCCGAGCUUAGGAUGUUGACAUAAUGGCUUUAAACGACCCGUCUUGAA